CCUACGGGGGGCAGCAGUGAGGAAUAUUGGUCAAUGGACGAAAGUCUGAACCAGCCAAGUAGCGUGAAGGAUGACUGCCCUCUGGGUUGUAAACUUCUUUUAUACGGGAAUAAAAUGCGGCACGUGUGCCAUUUUGCAUGUACUUCAUGAAUCAGGACCGGCUAAUUCCGUGCCAGCAGCCGCGGUAAUACGGAGGGUCCGGGCGUUAUCCGGAUUUAUUGGGUUUAAAGGGAGCGUAGACGGCAGGUUAAGCCUGCAGUGAAAGGUUGCGGCUCAACCGUGACAUUGCGAUGGAUACUGGCUGGCUUGAGUGCAGGUGAGGUAGGCGGAAGUCGUGGUGUAGCGGUGAAAUGCUUAGAUAUCACGAAGAACCCCGAUUGCGAAGGCAGCUUACUAAAGUGUUACUGACGUUGAAGCUCGAAAGCGUGGGUAUCAAACAGGAUUAGAUACCCCAGUAGUC
rnacentral:rRNA from 1 species